GUACGGGGGGGGCAAGCGUUGUUCGGAAUUACUGGGCGUAAAGGGCUCGUAGGCGGCCAACUAAGUCAGACGUGAAAUCCCCUCGGCUUAACCGGGGAACUGCGUCUGAUACUGGAUGGCUUGAGAUUGGGAGAGGGAUGCGGAAUUCCAGGUGUAGCGGUGAAAUGCGUAGAUAUCUGGAGGAACACCGGUGGCGAAGGCGGCAUCCUGGACCAACACUGACGCUGAGGAGCGAAAGCCAGGGGAGCAAACGGG
rnacentral:rRNA from 1 species